rnacentral:rRNA from 1 species
AACGAACGCUGGCGGCAGGCUUAACACAUGCAAGUCGAGCGCCCCGCAAGGGGAGCGGCAGACGGGUGAGUAACGCGUGGGAAUCUACCCAUCUCUACGGAAUAACGCAUGGAAACGUGUGCUAUUACCGUAUACGUCCUUCGGGAGAAAGAUUUAUCGGAGAUGGAUGAGCCCGCGUUGGAUUAGCUAGUUGGUGGGGUAAAGGCCUACCAAGGCGACGAUCCAUAGCUGGUCUGAGAGGAUGAUCAGCCACACUGGGACUGAGACACGGCCCAGACUCCUACGGGAGGCAGCAGUGGGGAAUAUUGGACAAUGGGCGCAAGCCUGAUCCAGCCAUGCUGCGUGAGUGAUGAAGGCCCUAGGGUUGUAAAGCUCUUUCACCGGUGAAGAUAAUGACGGUAACCGGAGAAGAAGCCCCGGCUAACUUCGUGCCAGCCGCCGCGGUAACAC